rfam:Ictidomys tridecemlineatus contig062768, whole genome shotgun sequence.
GGGGUUGGAGCUCAGUGGUAGAGCACUUGCCUACCAUGUGUGAGGCACUGGGUUCAAUUCUCAGCACCA